UACUAGGUGACCAGCUCAGUCUCUGUUCUGGAUGUCUCUCUACCCUGUUCACCUGCCCUACCUGACAUCACCUGGGAUUCUAGGACUUACCUUCCUGGGCUGCAACUUUGCUCCUGGAUUUGGAUUCCUGUCUCUUCUGCUUUGCGUAUUUUUAGUUUCUCUCUCUGAAAAGUUCCCAAUCGAUUAGCAAACAUCCAAAAUAAAGGCCCAAGUACAGCCUGACUCCUAAAGAAGAGUCAACAUCACUGAGCUCCAUCAAAUAGGAUCACAAUUCCCAGUAUCCUUAGAUGAACAUUUAGUUCUCAGUUAUGUGCUCUUAUUGCUGUACCUUUUCUAUCACAUAUUCCUGUUUAUCAACAACUGUUUUCUAAAUUUCCUAAUAAAAUAAUUCCAUUUAUCAUGU
rnacentral:lncRNA from 1 species